AUUGAACGCUGGCGGCAGGCCUAACACAUGCAAGUCGAGCGGCAGCGGGAAAGUAGCUUGCUACUUUUGCCGGCGAGCGGCGGACGGGUGAGUAAUGCCUGGGGAUCUGCCCAGUCGAGGGGGAUAACUACUGGAAACGGUAGCUAAUACCGCAUACGCCCUACGGGGGAACGCAGGGGACCUUCGGGCCUUGCGCGAUCGGAUGAACCCAUGUGGGAUUAGCUAGUUGGUGAGGUAAUGGCUCACCAAGGCGACGAUCCCUAGCUGGUCUGAGAGGAUGAUCAGCCACACUGGAACUGAGACACGGUCCAGACUCCUACGGGAGGCAGCAGUGGGGAAUAUUGCACAAUGGGGGAAACCCUGAUGCAGCCAUGCCGCGUGUGUGAAGAAGGCCUUCGGGUUGUAAAGCACUUUCAGCGAGGAGGAAAGGUUGGUAGCUAAUAACUGCCAGCUGUGACGUUACUCGCAGAAGAAGCACCGGCUAACUCCGUGCCAGCAGCCGCCGUAAUAC
rnacentral:rRNA from 1 species